CGUCCCGGAUGGGACUCGAACCCACAACCUCCGGAUUAGAAGUCCGACGCGCUAUCCAUUGCGCCACCGGGAC
rnacentral:tRNA from 1 species